CACGGGGGGAGCAAGCGUUGUUCGGAAUCACUGGGCGUAAAGGGCGUGUAGGCGGUCAAGUAAGUGGGGUGUGAAAUCCCUCGGCUCACCCGAGGAUCUGCAUCCCAAACUGCUUGGCUUGAGUAUGGGAGAGGAUGAGGGAAUUCCUGGUGUAGCGGUGAAAUGCGUAGAUAUCAGGAGGAACACCGGUGGCGAAGGCGCUCAUCUGGCCCAAUACUGACGCUGAGGCGCGAAAGCUAGGGGAGCAAACGGG
rnacentral:rRNA from 1 species